CAGCAGAGAAACAGCUUCAUCGUCCUCCUCACUCUCUCUCACCUUGCGAACUCAACCUUAGCUAGCAAUGGUAAUCUCACGCACUCGAAACUCAUCCUUCUUAUGACAUCAACAAAACCCUCUCACGCUCUCAACGAACCCCUCUCAAUCACUCUCAGCUCUCACAAUAUUUCCAACAGCAAGCACAUGAGAAAGAUAAAAAAGAAAGAAAAAGAAGUACUCACAAAGCGUCACGGCGGCGAUGGUGAAGGACGCGAAGAAGCUGGCCUCCAGGGUUUCCAAUGGGGUCUUUGCUGUUCAAAAGGAGUGUUUCUGCAAAGCACUUUGGAUGCUCAGACACAUAAUCACCCUAUCCAUGUUAGAUUCAAGAAAAGUGAAAAUUGGUUACAAGGAGGUUGUGGAUGUUGGUAACAUAUUGUAGUGACAACUUGUGUUUUGUCAUGACUUUAACUUGUUUGUGCAUGAACUGCUGCCAGGGUCUUGAAUGGAACAUACACAUCUCUGUCAUGGUCUGCUUCAUGAAGUAGCAGGAUAUGGUCUUGAUUUGGACUUGUCGAUGCAGAUUGUUGGUUGUUGCUAUAGCAGUUGAUGGUUGAUGCAGGUUCAAUGACUGGGCUGGUUCAACAUAUCUGCUUCUGCCUUCAUUGGGACUUAAUGCAGGAUGGUAUUUUUGCUUCCUGAUUGUACAUCCUUGGAUCCUUCAGGAAGGCCCAUCUUCUCUACCAAAACCUUCAAAGCUGCUUCAGUAGGCAUUCCAUGGGCAACAAACUUAUGCUCUGACUGUGACACUCCGGCAUCAUUACAAACAGCAGCAAUUUUCGCUAUCAUCUGAAGAUUAGCAUCCAAUCGACCAGCUGGCAAAAUUCUCUAUUUGACCAUCAGAUGGAUUAUACGUAGUUCCUUCCACCUUAGAGGCGCGCAGGGUAUCUACAUUAGGGCCACUAGCUACUAGUUUUGAAACAGCCAUCCGGUUUGUUGUCAAUGUACCAGUUUUUAUCAGAGCAAAUCACAGUUGUACAACCCAGAGUUUCGACACUAGGUAGUUUCCGAACCAGGGCAUUCUUCUGGGUCAUUUUGCAAGUACCAAGUGCAAGGCAAGUCGUGAUGACAGCGGGCAAUCCCUCCGGAAUAGCAGCCACAGCCAAUGCCACAGCAAUCUCAAAGUAAUACGUACACUUCUCAAAUGAAAACUUGAAGUUCCACUUUGAGCAAUAGUUCCAAGACAGUCAACUAGUUCUUGCUUAGUCAUACCAAUGCCUGUAUCAGUGAUAGUGAUGAUCCCCAUUAUCCUUAUCAGCUUGAAUUCGGAUAUCAAAAUCAAUUGCAUCCUUCAUCAGGUCAAGCUCUGUAACACUAAAAAAUCGCAGCUUAUCCAAGGCAUCACUUGCAUUACUGAUAAGUUCCCUGAGAAACACUUCCUUGUUACUGUAUAAACUGUUAACAAUAAGGUCCAUGAGCCGACUAAACUCUGCUUGGUAUUCAAAUUUUUCAGCUGGUGGGGAACUUGAUGCAAAUUGUUGGCAAUGCUGCAGGAUCGGUGCCGACUACAACGCUCAAUUGCGUACCGGUUUGAGGCAGCUCACGUCAUAACAAAUGGUUCGGUGGUUCCCUGCGGAGUAGCUCUUGGUUGCAUCCACCUUGGAGGAAAGUCUGAGCAAAGUGCAUCCACCACCAACUACAAUACCCUCUUCAACAGCUGCCUUUGUAGCAUUAAAAGCGUCUUCAACUCUCAAUUUCUUUUCCUAGAGUUUUGUCUCAGUUUGUGCACCAACCUGUAUGACAGCCAUGCCACUAGACAGUUUUGCAAUAACAACAUCAGGAUCACUUUGAAAUGAGACAGCAGCUUCGAACUUUCUUCUUCGGAUAUUCCUAACUCUUUUUUUUUUACAGGAGCAAUUGAGCCAUCGGAGUUCUUUAAGGGCAAAGGGAUAUCCAUAGUAACCAAUUUUCCAGAUUUAUGAGAAGCGAUACAGUUACUUCCCAAAUAGAAUCAUAACUGAUGGACCUUUAGCAUGUCCCUUUAAAACCUCAUUUCAAUCACACAAUUUAAGGGAAAUAAAGAGGAUCGUUUUGCUUCCCAUGUUGGGUAUGUUCAAAGCUGCAUUUUCACUGACCGUGUUAUGAUUGAAUAACCGCAACGAACGUUGUUGUUCCAUGUAGCAGUGCAGUAGCAGUACAUGAGUUUUUCGCCUUCUUGGUCAGUUUAGAGUGAAUUACCAAUUGUCAAAGCUAGUUAACAUGGAAGGUUAUAACAAUUGGAUACUUUUGGUUACAGAGUUCACUCUUAAAUCUUUGCAGUCAUGGCAGUGGGCUAGCAACAGUGUAUACUACCU